rnacentral:rRNA from 1 species
CACGUAGGGCGCAAGCGUUGUCCGGAAUUAUUGGGCGUAAAGAGCUCGUAGGCGGUCCGUCACGUCCGCUGUGAAAACCCAGGGCUCAACCCUGGGCUUGCAGUGGAUACGGGCAGACUAGAGGUAGGUAGAGGCCAAUGGAAUUCCGGGUGUAGCGGUGGAAUGCGUAGAGAUCCGGAAGAACACCGGUGGCGAAGGCGGUUGGCUGGGCCACAACUGACACUGAUGCGCGACAGCGUGGGGAGCAAACAGG